CACGGGGGGAGCAAGCGUUGUUCGGAAUCACUGGGCGUAAAGGGUGUCUAGGCGGUCAGGUAAGUGAGAUGUGAAAUGCCCCGGCUUACCCGGGGACCUGCAUCUCAUACUGCCUGGCUUGAGUAUGGGAGAGGAUGAGGGAAUUCCUGGUGUAGCGGUGAAAUGCGUAGAUAUCAGGAGGAACACCGGUGGCGAAGGCGGAUCUCUGGGCCAUUACUGACGCUGAGGAGCGAAAGCGUGGGGAGCGAACAGG
rnacentral:rRNA from 1 species